AUACUAUGCCCAGCAAAGUGUUUUUUACCCCCAAGGUAAGGCUCCACCAUUGCACCUGAGAUGGUCUGACCGCUGGGAUUUCCCAAAAUGAGGAAAACAGACUGCAUGAUUUGUGAUAAUGGGGGACUACGUUAGAUGCUCCUCCA
rnacentral:snRNA from 1 species